AGAGAUAUCUUUCUACCAUUAUGUGAGCACCACGAUGUCCACUGAAUAAAUAAUUCUCCCAAGCGCACCGCAUAUCUUCUUCUUCUCUUCGCUGCGGCGGCGACGAACACACAUUAUUUUAUUCCGAACGUAUUUCGGUGCAGAGGCUCUGAAUAAUCUGAUCUGGGAGCAGUUCAUUUUUAUCUCUGUCACUUGAUUUCAACGCCCAAAAACACAAACUCGCCGGAUGACCGCAGAGAAAUUUUUCAUCAAGCCUUUGAUUUUUGAAAUCGAGCCUCUUUGUUGGACGUGCGGGGAUGAAAGAUUACCGGGUCCUCAGGGAUUUGUGUGCUCGGCGACCAGAACAAAAUUCAGCAACUUCAUCAGCCGCCCCUUAUUUAUGAUUGAUUAAAAAGCAGCCUCCUCGGACGGCUUGUCAUAAUUUUUUUGCUGCCGCAUGUAAGAGGAUUCAAAAUCAAUCUGCGAGUAGAGCUCUGGAAAAAAGAUGAUGGAGCGUAAAAAAUAAAGAGUACGGAGAGAGA